rnacentral:lncRNA from 1 species
CCCCGCUCCCCCGGGGAAGGAGCACCCCCGGGACCUCAAGUUCAGCAUCGACUACAUCCUGUCCUCCCCAGACCCCUUCCCUGGGCUCAAGCAGCCCUGCCUCGCACAAGAGGGCAGAUACCCGCGGCCGGAGAACGUGGGACUCCACUUUUGGACAAUGUGAUGUGGAGCCACCCUGGAGGCCCCUGCAGUUCAGUCUGGGGUCUUCCCCGGACCCUCCCUGGAAAGACGAUUCCAGCCCCACCUUGAGCCAAGGAAGCCAGGGUUCGGCAAAUCCUACAAUUUCUCCUGCAGACAGAAGGUCAGGUGCCACACCAGGCCUGGACUGGGGGCACAGGCGGAGGUGGAGCUCCUUAAAGAUGGAAGCAGGACAGCGGCAGAUUUGAGAGCAACCACCAGGUCCCUGAGUGCAAACUGACCACAGAUGAGCCCCUCCUCCCCACUGCUGACUUGCUGGGUAUAGCGGAGCAGCACCCCUCCAGAGAGCCCUCCUGGGCUGACACCUGCCCUUUGCACCCAGCUGAAAUAAAACUCUUGGAAUCUGC